rfam:Chlorocebus sabaeus isolate 1994-021 chromosome 20, whole genome shotgun sequence.
GCCAGGUGUGGUGGCUCACGCCUGUAAUCCUAGCACUUUGGGAGGCCGAGGCAAGUGGAUCACCUGAGGUCAGGAGUUCAAGACCAGCUUGGCCAACAUGGCGAAACCCCGUCUCUACUAAAAAUACAAAAAUUAGCCAGGUGCGCCUGUAAUCCCAGCUACUCANNNNNNNNNNUGAGUAGCUGGGAUUACAGGCGCACCUGGCUAAUUUUUGUAUUUUUAGUAGAGACGGGGUUUCGCCAUGUUGGCCAAGCUGGUCUUGAACUCCUGACCUCAGGUGAUCCACCCGCUUCGG